rnacentral:lncRNA from 1 species
GUAAUUUUACUUUGUAAAAAUGUUUUUACUAAAUUUGAAAGGCUAUGUUGAAAUGCUAAAAAUGUGUUUUUUCACUCAAGCAUUUACCACUAAGCUAGGUGCGGUAGUCUCUAGCGUAUGAGUAGUGCUCUUAUAUAGAGUCCAAAACUUAACCUAAAUUCAGUACCCUCAAUAAUCUGAAGACCAAGAAACUAUGUUCACUAUUUUAGUUUAUGAAGGUCAAUUAUGUGAAAUUAAAGACGCUUUUUUAUUGUCACCAUCUUUUUCUCCAAGUUUCUGAAAGCCACAAAUUUUACAGUGUAAAAGAUUCGUAAACAC